GACGAACGCUGGCGGCGUGCUUAACACAUGCAAGUCGAACGGAAAGGCCCUGCUUUUGUGGGGUGCUCGAGUGGCGAACGGGUGAGUAACACGUGAGUAACCUGCCCUUGACUUUGGGAUAACUUCAGGAAACUGGGGCUAAUAUCGGAUAGGAGCUCCUGCUGCAUGGUGGGGGUUGGAAAGUUUCGGCGGUUGGGGAUGGAUUCGCGGCUUAUCAGCUUGUUGGUGGGGUAGUGGCUUACCAAGGCUUUGACGGGUCGCCGGCCUGUGAGGGUGACCGGCCACAUUGGGACUGAGGUACGGCCCAGACGCCUACGGGAGGCAGCGGGGGGGAAUAUUGCACAAUGGGCGGGAGCCUGAUGCAGCAACGCCGCGGGCGGGAUGGCGGCCUUCGGGUUGUAAACCGCUUUCGCCUGUGACGAAGCGUGAGUGACGGUAAUGGGUAAAGAAGCACCGGCUAACUACGUG
rnacentral:rRNA from 1 species